rnacentral:rRNA from 1 species
GACGAACGCUGGCGGCGUGCUUAACACAUGCAAGUCGAGCGGUAAGGCCCUUUCGGGGGUACACGAGCGGCGAACGGGUGAGUAACACGUGGGUGACCUGCCUUUAGCUCUGGGAUAAGCCUGGGAAACCGGGUCUAAUACCGGAUAUGACUCCAUGACGCAUGUUGUGGGGUGGAAAGCCUUGUGCGGCUGAGGAUGGGCCCGCGGCCUAUCAGCUUGUUGGUGGGGUGANGGCCUACCAAGGCGACGACGGGUAGCCGGCCUGAGAGGGCGACCGGCCACACUGGGACUGAGACACGGCCCAGACUCCUACGGGAGGCAGCAGUGGGGAAUCUUGCGCAAUGGGCGAAAGCCUGACGCAGCGACGCCGCGUGAGGGAUGACGGCCUGG